GUAUAUAAUUAAGUACACAUGUUUUUUCAACAUCCAUGCAUAUCUUGUAUCCUUAAUAUAUAAAAGUGUAUUUCAAGUGCUAAAGAAAACAACUUUUUCUCAUAUCACCAAUUUGAAGAAGCAAGUGUGAAUUCGCAGGAACCAUGGUGGAGAUUCACGAACAAAUAAACCCUUUUGAUGAAGAAAAUGAAGAAAAAGAAGAAGAGAUCAACUAAAUGUUCAGCUUAAGAAGAGAAUGUGGAAGGACGGAAUCCUGUUGCAGAAGCUAAAGGAGAAACGCCCCAAAGAAGAGCCAGACCAAGAAGCAAAACAAGAAGCUUCUAGGUGGAAGAAGUUGUCAAGAGCACAAGAUUCAAUCCUUAAAUACGUGGUGAAGAUCAUGGAAGUUUGCAAUGCUCAAGGUUUUGUCUAUGGGAUUAUCUCUGAGAAGGGUGGGCCAGUGACAGGGUCUUCUGACAGCUUACGUGAGUGGUGGAAAGAAAGGACUCUAAUAACUAGCUAUGGUCGGCUUGGUGAGUGCGGGAAGAAAACAUAAAGGAAAUAAAAAGAGUAACUCACUCAUGGUCAACAAUUCUGUCUGGCGCACGACGACACGGAUUCUUGCAAAUCCUAGGAAAUUGGGUGCUUUUGAGGAU